UAUUUUAGUAUUUUAUUUAUAUCUUCAUCUUUAUCUCUUGUUUCCAUUCAUGCUGUAUUUCUAUUUCUACUUUGCACGGAGCAUUGGAACAAAAACAAUUUCCCCCCGGGGAUUAAUAAAGUAUUCUGAAUCUGAAUCUGAAUCUGAAUUCUCCUUCAGCAGCUCUCUUCACCUGGGAAAGGCUACCCCGAUGUUGACCCUCGUUUUUUGAAAUCGCCGGUCACGUUGCCUUUUUGCCUGUUUUCAAAUGCACCGCCACUUGUUACUAGCCUGCUUGCUGCUGCUUUUCGUCACUCUACCUGCAGGCAGAAACCGACAAGUGAAAACGCGUAAGGUGAUUCCGUAUUUCUCAGGUAUGUCCCUGUACGUACCUGUGUUUUCAAGAUGGCGCAUGUACAUGACGAGACACCGGUCGCAAUGUAUAUGUAAAUGAGAAUUUCGGAGCUGACUGACAUACUUAUACAUAUAGAUAGAUAUAUACAUAUUCAUUUAUAUACAUAUCCUUUUAUUUACUUAUUUAUUUUCUUUCUAUGAAGCCCUUAUAUUUUUUAUUUUAUUGUGAACUUUCCCAAAAUCCGUUUCACCUGUAAAUAGGUUCCUGUCAUGUUGAUUUUUGUAGCGUAUCUUUUUUGUUUCCCUGGGGACGUCAUUUGCGUUACUCCGCGGGGCUCACGCUUCAGUGAGACUGUAUGCUCAGAGCUGGUGAGUCACGUUGCUAAAUGCUCUCUUCAUUAUUCUUGAUAAUUGUUGCGUUUUAUGAAUGAACAUCAUAUGGUGACACACAGUGGAAUAUAAUAUACAUACGAGUCCGUCAGCUUAGUCUCCGUCGCAUGGACACGUUGUUAAUCUUGAUGUUAGACCGAGUAAAUUUAAUGUUCGUCCAGCUAAUUAGCCUUGGGCUAGCUGCGUCGCGGCAGUUAGCAUGCUCGCUAAUAUUGACGCAACGGGUAUUUUGAUUGUCAUUUUGUGGUGUUUUGAUCCUGGAGGGUAUGCUAGCCUCAUGGUUUGAUGGUGUGUGAUGGAUAAUUAUGAUGUGUCACUCAUAUGUAGCUUGAUAUUUGCUAAUGCACUGUAUUGCAUAUGACUUUGUUUUUUGUAGAAUGUGGAGAGGAGCUGGUGCAUUACUGACGUCCUAUGUGUUUUUUAUUCUGUUCCAAAAGGUAUGCCUGUUACUCUGGUUAUCUGAAAUUAAUGCUGUCUUGUUAUGAAAUGUUAUUUGAAUUUAAUCUGUAUGGAUUAGUUGAGAGGUUAAUAAUAUGCACUGAUUUUGUACUUUUAUACUGUUUAUAUUUACAUGCCAUCUUUAUGGGACAUUUUUUUCUUUUUCAUUUUCACAUAGUGCUUAAUGCAAGACAGUUAUUGUCACUAUAUUAAUUUGAACGCUUCAGUGAGACUGUAUGCUCAGAGCUGAAUGUGGAGAGGAGCUGGUGCAUUACUGACGUCCUAUGUGUUUUUUAUUCUGUUCCAAAAGGAGUAAAAUUCCAUGCAGACCUUCAGUGCUGGUGUGUGUCUCACUCAACGCAACACAACGCAGAUUUGAGCAGAAUUGAGUCUGCUACACUUAGAUACGCUGUGGAGACAAUAAAGAUAACUAAAGGAAUAACCAUGAAAACCACAGCCAAGCUGAUGGUGAUGGGAGCAGCAGGUGAAGCUGUUGCCGUGUCUCUUCUCCACAGUCACUCUGUGCUGCUGACAGUAUAGAGGUCAUCAGGACCUCUGACUGUCUCUGGAGGUCCAGCAGAGACGAGGUUUCCCUCACCGUCCAGCCACAACACCUCAGGCUCUGGAUACCAGCCUGCAGACUCACACUGCAGAUCCACUCCUCUGAGGUCUUUAUCAUCGUCAGUCCUCAUUAAGCUAAUGGUAUCCACCGGCGUCUGCUGUUGGCGUUCCAGGACAGGACGUCAACAAGGAAGUGAACACUGGCUUCCCGAGUGAAAGUCAAAAGUUUGCUGGACCCAUCCACCACCCCUGCCGCCCACCCUACAGAGACUUUCCAGCCUCUUGUAUUAAGUUGUUACCUGCAGCGUUUCUGACUGAUGAAGUCCAGUGGUGUAUCAUAUCAACUGGGGCUGCAGCAAUAUAUCAGUUUCAAGGACACAAACUUCCUUAAGUUUGUCUGAGGCCAUGGUCCUCAGCCAGAAAAGGGUGGAUUGCCCACUCUAGGUCAGGGGGGAGGUCCUGCGGGAGAUUGACAGGCGGAUUGGGGCGACGUCAGCAGUGAUGCAGGCGCUUAACCGGUCCAUUGUGGUGAAGAGGGAGCUUAGCCAGAAAGCGAAGCUCUCGAUUUGCCGGUUGAUCUACGUUCCAACCCUCACCUAUGGUNCGGACGCCUCCCUUGGGAGAUGUUUUGGGCAUGUCCAGCCGGGAGGAGACCUCGGGGCCGCCCCAGGACACGCUGGAGGGAUUACAUCGCCCGGCUGGCCUGGGAACGCUUCGACUGUCUGGGCUUCUUUGCUGAGGCUGCUGCCCCCGCGACCCGGACCCGGAUAAGCAGAGGAUGACGAGUACAAGUACAAACUUCCAUUAACAAGAUGCUUUCAAGUUCCAGUUAUAGUAAUAAAACGUUUGUUCAACUAAUAACAACCGCCCUGUUUUCAUUCCUUUAAGUCUCGGUCUGACUGAUAAUGAGAAAUGAAAUUCUGUGAAACUGUGAUAUUUUCUGAGACGGUCAUCGUACUGUGGAAAUCUCAGUGUUGCAUCCCCAAUACCAACACGACCGGUGCCAUCCUGCAGUGUUAUGAAGUGACUCCAUCCAUCUGCCUAUCAUACCGCUGUGAAAGGUGGCUUUUGGCAUUGGUGUCUGACGCCAAAAUCAUUGCCAAAGUGGCGGUAUUUGACGACUUCAGGGAAGUACAGACCAGCUUGUAUAUUCAGGCAGAAAAACUUUAAAACAAAUGCUCUCAUUCAUCAGCAGCUACCACUGAAACACUCUUUAAAAAUUCAGGUCUCACUUCCACUGAUCAGCUGAGGUUUAAAGCCAAGAUGAUUUAUCCACUCACCAACAAC